rnacentral:tRNA from 1 species
GCUAUCGUGGCCGAGUGGUCUAAGGCGGUAGAUUUAAGUUUGUUCUUGAAACUCUACUGGGGCGACCCGCGUGCGUUCGAACCGCACCGAUAGCA